rnacentral:rRNA from 1 species
UACGUAGGGUGCGAGCGUUAAUCGGAAUUACUGGGCGUAAAGUGUGCGCAGGUGGCCGCGCAUGUCGAGUGUGAAAUCCCCCGGGCUUAACUUGGGAAUUGCGCUCGAAACUACGUGGCUCGAGUGUGGCAGAGGAAGGUGGAAUUCCACGUGUAGCGGUGAAAUGCGUAGAGAUGUGGAGGAACACCGAUGGCGAAGGCAGCCUUCUGGCCAAC